rnacentral:lncRNA from 1 species
UUGGGGAGAGGUGAUUAGACAGGACAUGACCAGAAUGCAGGUUACCGAGGACAUGACCCUUGAUAGGGGAGUCUGGAGGUCUAGAAUCAGGAUUGUAAGCUAGGGGCUCAUAGAGUUCUCCGUACGCCUUUUCCGGGGUUGGGUAUGGGAUAGUAGGGUUACCCAUAGGUGAUUAGUAUUUUAGCUUAUGUCCCCAGAGGGUUGUUAGUAUGGUAGUUACUGCUUGCUAUUAUUGCAUGCGACUGUAUUUAUGUUGCUUAUGUUUCCAUAAUUAUUUACGUUAUUUCUGCGGGAGUACUUGUGCUUUAUUAUUUUGUUUUNNNN